rnacentral:tmRNA from 1 species
GGGGGUGUAAUUGGUUUCGACAGUUAUUUAGAAGUAUAAAUAGCGAGUAGUGGAUUCUCGUUGGCCACUUAAAAAAACGGGAGAAUAAAUAUAAACGCUGAUCGUACAGAAUUAGCUUACGCUGCCUAAGUUGCAGUGUCGUCUUCUAAUAGCUUCCCACGGCUAUUAACAAGGCGUCGAUUAUGUGGGAAACAAAGCUAUUUCUUGCUAUGGGAAUAGUGGGUAUUUUAUAGCUACUUUAAUAUGUUGUUUGUUUGUUAAUGACAUAUUAGGGGAAUUUUAAUAACAAACUGCACUCGGAGAAGUUUAUGUGGAAGAAUAAUUGGACAGGAGUUCGACUCUCCUCACCUCCACCA